GCUCUGUCUUGAUUUCCACAUGGAACCAGAUCAUCAAAGAGACUGCUCUCAGUGAGUUCACUGUGGAAAGUGUUUUCAGGAUUAAGCACGCCUCCUUUUUACGUCUCCGAUUCUACCUCCCCUGUGAGAUGCUCUUCACCUGCCUCCUCCUCUGACUCCAAUCUAUCAAAGUAAAGAUCUUCAGGAUCAAUGGUUGUGAAUUUAAAAGAAUUUCAGUUCAGAUCCAGUCUUGUAUUUGGAAUAGUCUUGUUGGUUUCCCAUGACAACAAGAAAGAUGUGAAGGCAAAGACCGCAGGACUGGAAUUCUUGAAGAAAGUCAGCCUCCUCAUGGUAUGCUCCCAUGACAUCCAUAUCUGCUUCCCAAGCCUUAGGGAGGAAGUCCUUCGACAGCCAGAAAGGGACUCUGGGAUCUAGUGUGAGAGAUAUAUCUGCAAUGGCGUCCUGUGUAAAAUUUAGCCUUGAGGAUGUGGAAGAUAGACUCCAGGCAGAUGCCAUUAACAGGAUGUUCAGAUCUCAGUGGAGCACCUGCUGGAGAUGGAAUACUUCAAUCUGAGGAUGGCACCCAUUUACACUAUCCUCUGCAAUUCAACCUUAACACCAAGCCUACUGUCCAGCCUAGGAGAAAAUGUUCUGAGAGACAGAACUGCUCGGUGCUAGGGCAGGUGUUUGAAGGAUUCUUUGCUGUACUGUGGGUACCUGUCUCAGGGGAUUCUCUUACCCACCCUGUCACUAUCUUUUUGGGACCAUUCUGUGCUGAGAUGAAACAAGUGAUCUUUGUGUGAAUUCGUUCUGGUCUCUGCAUCCUGGGUCCCUGAAUCCAAGGGCGCUGUGGGUAUGAGAGGCCUUGGUGAAGAAUUGUUGACAGGGUUAAUGGAGAUGCGUAACUCGGUGGAAGUACCUUCCUGGGCACCUGGACACCACAGAAGAGGCCAACAUAUUCA
rnacentral:lncRNA from 1 species